rnacentral:rRNA from 1 species
GAUGAACGCUGGCGGCGUGCCUAAUACAUGCAAGUCGAGCGAAUGGAUUAAGAGCUUGCUCUUAUGAAGUUAGCGGCGGACGGGUGAGUAACACGUGGGUAACCUGCCCAUAAGACUGGGAUAACUCCGGGAAACCGGGGCUAAUACCGGAUAACAUUUUGAACCGCAUGGUUCGAAAUUGAAAGGCGGCUUCGGCUGUCACUUAUGGAUGGACCCGCGUCGCAUUAGCUAGUUGGUGAGGUACCGGCUCACCAAGGCAACGAUGCGUAGCCGACCUGAGGGGGUGAUCGGCCACACUGGGACUGAGACACGGCCCAGACUCCUACGGGAGGCAGCAGUAGGGAAUCUUCCGCAAUGGACGAAAGUCUGACGGAGCAACGCCGCGUGAGUGAUGAAGGCUUUCGGGUCGUAAAACUCUGUUGUUAGGAAAGAACAAGUGCUAGUUGAAUAAGCUGGCACCUUGACGGUACCUAACCAGAAAGCCACGGCUAACUACGUGCCAGCAGCCGCGGUAA